UAAACAUUGAUAAAUUAUUACAGCUUCAAUUCGCCCGGGUACUACAAGCACUAGCUUAAAACCCAAAGGACUUGGCGGUGCUUAAGAUCCCCCUAGAGGAGCCUGUUCUAGAACCGAUAAUCCACGUUUAACCUCACCCUCUCUUGUUUUUCCCGCCUAUAUACCGCCGUCGUCAGCUUACCCUGUGAAGGUCCAAUAGUGAGCAAAAAUGGCACAGCCCAAAACGUCAGGUCGAGGUGUAGCGCAUGAGAGGGGAAGAAAUGGGCUACAUUCUCUAAAAAUAGAAGCACACGGAUAAUAUAUUGAAACAUAUAUUUUAAGGAGGAUUUAGUAGUAAGUAGAAAUUAGAAUAUUCCACUGAACCCGGCUCUAAAGCGCGC
rnacentral:rRNA from 2 species